rnacentral:rRNA from 1 species
CAGGUUUACCUGUGUGACUGCGUACCUUUUGUAUAAUGGGUCAGCGACUUAUAUUCUGUAGCAAGGUUAACCGUAUAGGGGAGCCGAAGGGAAACCGAGUCUUAACCGGGCGUUAAGUUGCAGGGUAUAGACCCGAAACCCGGUGAUCUAGCCAUGGGCAGGUUGAAGGUUGGGUAACACUAACUGGAGGACCGAACCGACUAAUGUUGAAAAAUUAGCGGAUGACCUGUGGCUGGGGGUGAAAGGCCAAUCAAACCGGGAGAUAGCUGGUUCUCCCCGAAAGCUAUUUAGGUAGCGCCUCGUGAACUCAUCUCCGGGGGUAGAGCACUGUUUCGGCUAGGGGGCCAUCCCGGCUUACCAACCCGAUGCAAACUGCGAAUACCGGAGAAUGUUAUCACGGGAGACACACGGCGGGUGCUAACGUCCGUCGUGAAGAGGGAAACAACCCAGACCGCCAGCUAAGGUCCCAAAGUCAUGGUUAAGUGGGAAACGAUGUGGGAAGGCCCAGACAGCCAGGAUGUUGGCUUAGAAGCAGCCAUCAUUUAAAGAAAGCGUAAUAGCUCACUGGUCGAGUCGGCCUGCGCGGAAGAUGUAACGGGGCUAAACCAUGCACCGAAGCUGCGGCAGCGACAUUUAGGUGUUGUUGGGUAGGGGAGCGUUCUGUAAGCCUGUGAAGGUGGCCUGUGAGGGUUGCUGGAGGUAUCAGAAGUGCGAAUGCUGACAUAAGUAACGAUAAAGCGGGUGAAAAGCCCGCUCGCCGGAAGACCAAGGGUUCCUGUCCAACGUUAAUCGGGGCAGGGUGAGUCGACCCCUAAGGCGAGGCCGA